AUUGAACGCUGGCGGCAGGCCUAACACAUGCAAGUCGAGCGGAGCGGCGGACGGGCGAGUAAUGCCUAGGAACCUGCCUGGGCGUGGGGGAUAACGUCCGGAAACGGGCGCUAAUACCGCACACUAUCAGAUGAGCCUAGGUCGGAUUAGCUAGUUGGUUGGGUAAAGGCCUACCAUGGCGACGAUGCGUAACUGGGCUGAGAGGAUGAUCAGUCACACUGGAACUGAGACACGGUCGAGACUCCUACGGGAGGCAGCUGUGGGGAAUAUUGGACAAGGGGCGAAAGCCUGAGCCAGCCAUGCCGCGUGUGGGAAGAAGGUUUUCGGAUUGUAAAGCACUGUAAGUUGGGAGGCGGUACCAACAGAAUAAGCACCGGCUAACUUCGUGCCAGCAGCCGCGGUAAUUC
rnacentral:rRNA from 1 species